UGCCAUGGUAUACCUGAUAAGCUGCAGCUCUUCCGUGUGCAGGCAGAAGGUUGGCCGCAGCUGUACAUCUGUGCGGCUUUAUGGUCUCUCAUGUUUAGCUCCUCCUGCUCCCUCCGUCCCAGGCAACCACGGACCCCGAAGACCAGCUUUCGUCGUCCUGACUUCUGUGUUGAUAGGGCCAUAGACUACUAACAGGCAUUGCCGGUUUAACACAAGUUUGCUGCUCCAGUAAGAGAGAGAAACGCUUGCGUCCCCUCGAGAGUCGCGGUGAGCGUUCAGGAGCCCCGAGCUCUGAGUUCCAGCGGCACGUGCGCCUCUUGGGCAGCGGGGCUCCCUGUUUCGGGAAUAGAGAGAAGGAUGAUGGCUGCAGCUGGAGGACCGUCCAAAUGUCCUCUGCAGAGAGAGUAAGAGUGGCUCUUUCCCUCCCCGCAGGGAGAGCAGCUGCCCUGUUGACUUUGCUGCCCGUGUGCAGUUUCAGCCGAGAGCGUUUCCAUCCUCCAUGGAAGAGCCCGCUGGCCCAGGGUGUCGGCGGCCCCAUGGGCAGGGUCCACUAGGACUUGGUGUCCCUGGCGUGGCUGGGCUCUAGGUCCGUGCAUGAGGGCGGUUGAGACAAGGUUUUCUCCUCCGUGUCUCCAAAAGACCGUCGGUCUCCCACAAGCUUCUGGGAAACCCAUGCAAGAUCUGUCCGAUACAUAAGGAUGCAAUUUCACGCAUGACAGCUCAAUAAAGCAUAUUUAAU